CUAUAGAAAAAGAUAAGAACAUCUUGCCCCAGUCAUGACUCUUCUACUUGGCUUGGUUGUUUUACAGGAUGAAGUCAUAAAACAAAAUGGAGUCACAUUUGCUUUUACUAUUACACCCUUGCCGCUUUCUGUUUUCUACCCUAACACCCUGCCUCUCAGCAAAACUCUGGCUGCUCUUAGACUACAGAAUCAGACAGAGGCUGCACAAGGGCUCUUCUACUUUUCUCACUCCUGGAAGUUAUCUAUGGUAUAUGUGCUAAACCUCACCAACCUCAGCCUUUCUUUCAAGAUGAGAAAACAGAGCCUCUAAGAUGUGUGGACUUGCCCAAGACAAGUGAGAAUUGGGAUUCCAACCUGUUUUUGUUCCACUACACAAUUUAAUCCAAACAUUAAAUUGUUGCCAUUUAUUUUCACUUCUCUAUACUCCUCUCCAAAUCCCAAUGUUAUAUGGCUAUUAUGAGAUAAUUUGCUUAGUCAUAGGAGUUUUCCUAAGAACUCUUUGGAAGGAUGCUUCAGUAUAGACAGUAUCUUCUGUCAUUUCUUAAUCAUAAAGUGCUAUGGUCUGAAUGUGUCUUCCCCCCGAGUUUAUGUUGAAACAUCAUCUGCAAUGUGGUACUCUUAAUAAGUAGUGCUUUAUGGAGGUGAUUAGUUCAUUAGGUCAUCACCUUCAUGAAUGGGAUUAGUACUCUUGUAAAUGAGACCUGAAGGAGCUUGUUUGCUCCUUCUUCCAUGUAAGGAUGCAGCCAGAGAUACAUCACCAGAUACUGAAUCCACUGGCACCUUGAUGUUGGAUUUCCCAGCCUCCAGAACUGUGAACAAUAAACAUUGCUUAUAAAUUA